CUCAUCAGAGCCAGACUGUAAGACCACAGUGAACCUUGCCUUACCUCAGUCAGUCCCGACCAGGCCCAUGAGAAAGUCAACAACUGGAACCGAGGAAUUCAUACAGGAGUUAGAUUUUUCACCACAGCGACGUGGUGAUGUCUACCUGCUGAGUUCUAUGGCCUGAAUGAUAUGUCCACCAUGGAGUCAUUUAUGUUAAGGUCUGUUACGAGUUCCACCUCCAGCUUUCCAUUGCCUCCCAAGAACGCCAUCAGACUGUGAAUCCAUCAAUGGGGUAACCCAUUGAUAUCAGAGUCCUCAUGAUCAAGUCACUCCCUCAAAAUCCCAUCUCUGAACACAACAUUGGGAACUCAACACAUGAGCAUUUAGGAGAAACACUUUAUACCCAAAUCAUAACAGCUAGUAAAUGCCCACAGUAAACAUCCACUCUUCAUAUGAAGCCUGAGAUGGGUUUUUAUUAUUCAACUCUUUUUGACAAGUUAAGAGAAGCCAAGUCAUUUGCUGAAAGUCAGGAAACUAUAAAGGUAGAGGGAGGUGCAGUGCCUGUGUGUUCCACUGGAAAUCACUGGGAAUCCACUGGACAUCUUGGUGGCCUGGUGCCUCUACAAGCUCUGUUCUGUUUGCCUGAGGAAAAGGUUCUGAUGGAAUCUUGCUUUAUAUUUGGGUCUGUGCCCCCGUGGCACUGUUAAGUAGAUUCCAAUGGAUGUGGGGGAAGGAGGCUAGAUCAGAACCUAGGAGCCUGGGUCGAGUCCGGACAAAGGCUGCAUCCCUGGCCUUCACAGUGUUUCUGGUAGCAGCUGUGUCCUUCCCUUCCCGGUUCUCUGGGCUCUUGUCGUUACUAGCGCAAGGCUGGCCGGCACUGAGACCAAAACCACCACCAUGAUGGCAAAAACUCAGCAGCUGCCCCCGGUCGUGGUGCGUCCCUGCAGUUGACAUGAGCCUCGGUCUCACCCUGCGGACGAGGGAACCGAAACUGUGAGUCACUUGUCCAACCUCAUCACGGUGUGAUGGAUCCAAGACUCUACAGCCGCCCUGUCCCUCGAGAACCUGGGCUGCUGCAGGGUCAGGCCACAGUGCCGUUUGGGUAGGGACACAGGCGCGGGUGCCUCGUCACAAUGAGUCCGUAGCUUGCCUAGACGCUAUGUUAUAGCACUACUCCACAGAGACUCCACAGGGACCGACCGCUGAGUGAACCGACCGCUCCGGCCAGCCCCGGCAGGCUCUGCGGUCGAUCCCCGAGCACCUGAAAGCCACUUCCGUUUAGUCUCCCUGGUUGCGUUCAUCCAGGGUCCCGGGCUGAGAAAGGCUGUGCACAACACAAGGCUGUUGUUUACUCGGCUU